AACGCGAAGAACCUUACCUGGGCUCGAAAUGUUGUGGACCGGAGUAGAAAUAUUCCUUCCUCGCAAGAGGCCGCAAUAUAGGUGCUGCAUGGCUGUCGUCAGCUCGUGUCGUGAGAUGUUGGGUUAAGUCCCGCAACGAGCGCAACCCUUAUUACCAGUUACCAUCAUUUAGUUGGGGACUCUGGUGAGACCGCCUCGGAUAACGGGGAGGAAGGCGGGGAUGACGUCAAGUCCUCAUGGCCUUUAUGUCCAGGGCUACACACGUGCUACAAUGGCCGGUACAAACCGCAGCAAACCCGCGAGGGGGAGCUAAUCGGAAAAAGCCGUCCUCAGUUCGGAUUGCAGUCUGCAACUCGACUGCAUGAAGCUGGAAUCGCUAGUAAUCGCGGAUCAGAACGCCGCGGUGAAUACGUUCCCGGGCCUUGUA
rnacentral:rRNA from 1 species